rnacentral:rRNA from 1 species
AGUGAACGCUGGCGGUAGGCCUAACACAUGCAAGUCGAACGGCAGCACAGUAAGAGCUUGCUCUUACGGGUGGCGAGUGGCGGACGGGUGAGGAAUACAUCGGAAUCUACUUUUUCGUGGGGGAUAACGUAGGGACACUUACGCUAAUACCGCAUACGACCUACGGGUGAAAGCAGGGGAUCUUCGGACCUUGCGCGAUUGAAUGAGCCGAUGUCGGAUUAGCUAGUUGGCGGGGUAAAGGCCCACCAAGGCGACGAUCCGUAGCUGGUCUGAGAGGAUGAUCAGCCACACUGGAACUGAGACACGGUCCAGACUCCUACGGGAGGCAGCAGUGGGGAAUAUUGGACAAUGGGCGCAAGCCUGAUCCAGCCAUACCGCGUGGGUGAAGAGGGCCUUCGGGUUGUAAAGCCCUUUUGUUGGGAAAGAAAAGCAGCAGGUUAAUACCCCGCUGUUCUGACGGUACCCAAAGAAUAAGCACCGGCUAACUUCGUG